rnacentral:rRNA from 1 species
CGGGUGGCAGCAGUGGGGAAUAUUGGACAAUGGGCGAAAGCCUGAUCCAGCAAUACCGCGUGUGUGAAGAAGGCCUUAGGGUUGUAAAGCACUUUCAAUGGGGAGGAAAAAGAGUAAGUUAAUACCUUGCUUAUUGACAUUACCUAUAGAAGAAGCACCGGCUAACUCCGUGCCAGCAGCCGCGGUAAUACGGAGGGUGCGAGCGUUAAUCGGAAUUACUGGGCGUAAAGAGUGCGUAGGCGGCACGUUAAGUCAGAUGUGAAAGCCCUGGGCUCAACCUGGGAACUGCAUUUGAAACUGGCGAGCUAGAGUUGAGUAGAGGUAAGUGGAAUUUCAGGUGUAGCGGUGAAAUGCGUAGAUAUCUGAAGGAACACCAGUGGCGAAGGCGACUUACUGGACUCAAACUGACGCUGAGGUACGAAAGCGUGGGUAGCAAACAGGAUUAGAUACCCGAGU